UACGGAGGGGGCGAGCGUUAUUCGGAAUUAUUGGGCGUAAAGGGCGCGUAGGCGGCCCUGUAAGUCAAAGGUGAAAUCCCUCGGCUCAACUGAGGAACUGCCUUUGAAACUGCAGGGCUUGAGGCCGGGAGGGGGUAGCGGAAUUCCCAAUGUAGCGGUGAAAUGCGUAGAGAUGUGGAGGAACACCUGUGGCGAAGGCGCCUUGCUGGCCGAUUUCUGACGCUGAGGCGCGAAAGCGUGGGGAGCAAACAGG
rnacentral:rRNA from 1 species